rnacentral:rRNA from 1 species
UACGUAGGGGGCAAGCGUUGUCCGGAAUCAUUGGGCGUAAAGAGCGUGUAGGCGGCCAUACAGGUCCGUUGUGAAAACUCGAGGCUCAACCUCGAGACGUUGAUGGAAACCGUAUGGCUAGAGUCCGGAAGAGGAGAGUGGAAUUCCUGGUGUAGCGGUGAAAUGCGCAGAUAUCAGGAAGAACACCCGUGGCGAAGGCGGCUCUCUGGGACGGUACUGACGCUGAGACGCGAAAGCGUGGGGAGCGAACAGG